CCUCGGGAGGCUGGUGCAGUACUUCCCCCAUGACAGGUUGCAAGCUCCGGGGAGGCCUGGAUUCCCUUGAGCCCACGAUUAAUGGGGGCAACGGACUCUGCACUUCAUCAUCUCGACGAUCCUUACAGCACAAAUGGAGAGAUUAUCCCGAGCAGCAUUUUCCCAACGAUUAGCAAGAGACCCAUUUAAGCAGAGAAGGAAGUCAAGAGAAAAUUCAAGCCUAAAUUGUCCACCUGAAGCUGUACAAUAAAGCAAAUCAGGAAGUAGCUUCACUUUGCAAAGGUCCCUGAACCCCAAUGUGAAAGCAGUUAGCUCUUUUUAUAGAUAAUAAACACAUGUAUAUUGUUGUGCAGGA